UCCCCUAGCAAGGGGGCACCCUGGGCAAGGGGAAGAGAAAGAAAAGGAUGAAAGGGGAAUUCAGAGCAUCUUAGUUCUUUCAACGAGGACCAAGCACAGCACCUGUCCCCCCAGCCAUGCCCUGUGCUCCAGCAGCGCUGCUUGAAUGCAGUCAGAGUUUAGUUCUGCUUGAUCUGCAGGCAGGGCAUGCUCCGCUGCGGGUGAUAUAAAUACCGGCUAAUUGCCUCUGCCAAAUGCAAUGCCAGCAUGCACGGUACCCGAGCCUUAACGAAGCGAUUAACCCCGAAGCAGCGGGACGGACCUGACCUCUGCUUCCAGUUGACUUCUGCCGUCAACGCGGCAUUGAAGGAGCAUCCUCAGCACGAGCCCGGCUGCCAGCUCCGCUCCUGUUGCCCGCCGUUAAUUUGUGGAGACACCGUACUGCUGCCAACACCCCGCAGCUGCCCUGAUUUCGGUCGCUCCUCCUGCAGUGACACAGGGUGAUGGGUGUGGAGGGGAGGGGGAAUAUGAGGUCCCACCACGUGCACUGGGGGUUUGUCCCACCGGCUCUCUGGCCACUCUGGUUUUGCAGCCCCGUAACGGGCUCUGAGGGAGGGAUGGAGGUGCGGGGGUGAUGGGGGCGUCCCCAUCCAUGCGUUUUGGGGAGCCCCACGUUGCGCUGACCGGCCGCUUCUCAAAGCCAAGGGCUUGGCCGAACGCUUGGUGUUGGAAACCGUCACCUUGAUUUGGGAGGAAAGGAAGCAAAACACUUGAGAAAUGUCAAAACACAGGCUGUUCAACGGUGAUUUGCUAAACUAACAAUUUGGGCUGCAAGAAGAGCCGUGAUUGCCCUCUUCAGCUCUCUUGGAUGGGUUUGUUUUUCCUCCUGGCUCCACGCCCUCCAGCGACGUUUCGGGUUCCAAUUCCUUUCCUCGGAAGCCGUAGAGGGGAGGUGCUGGCAGCCUCCGGGAUGCUCUCUGGGGCUCACGGGGGACAUUUCCCCAUGUUUUAGCAUUGCUGAUGGCCCCAGCACGGCUUGGGGUGCCCCCCACAGCACCGUUGGCAUCAAGCAACUGGUAAUUGUGCUGGCGCGGACAGGAGCGGCUGCAACCCAAAGGGAUGCAAAUCCACCCCGAGGGCCCUUCUGGCGUGAGUUAGCCUGGAAUGAGGUUUCCCCGCUCUGCUGCUUGCUGAGACAGGGGCUGACCUCCUGCAUUCAGCUCGGCAGCCUUGCCUGGAGCCGCUGUUUAGCGCAGGAUGGCCGUAGGCACCACGCCAGGCUCUGGUGUUGGGUCGGCGGGUUAAUUUUAGGGCAACCCUCGCCCCUGACUUGAGCAGGGCUAUCAGGACCCGCUGUCCGGCGCGUGAUGUGAUAGCCACGCCGCGUCCUUUCCAACGCCCCGCUCGCUGAUACCGGGUGCCAUAAAAUUGCACUUAAAUGCUUUCAACAUUUCACCCUGGCACUGCUCAGCUGCUCGUUUGCCCGUUCACGCUGACAAACAAGCCUAGCCUGCAUCCAGCCAAUUUCAUGGUCUGAU